AUUGAACGCUAGCGGGAUGCUUUACACAUGCAAGUCGAACGAGUGGCGGAAGGGUGAGUAAUCUAUCGGAACGUGCCCAGUAGAGGGGGAUAACUACUCGAAAGAGGAGCUAAUAACGCAUACUAUUGGAGGGGCCGAUAUCGGAUUAGCUAGUUGGUGGGGUAAAGGCUGACCAAGGCAAAGAUCCGUAGCUGGUUUGAGAGGAAGAGCAGCCACCCUGGGACUGAGACACGGCCCAGACUCCUACGGGAUGCAGCAGGGGGGAAUUUUGGACAAUGGGGGAAACCCUGAUCCAGCCAUCCCGCGUUUAUGAGAAGGCCUUCGGGUUGUAAAGUACUUUUGGCAGAGAAGCGGUAUCUGCAGAAUAAGCACCGGCUAACUACGUGCCAGCAGCCGCGGUAAUUC
rnacentral:rRNA from 1 species